rfam:Triticum aestivum genome assembly, contig: Triticum_aestivum_CS42_TGACv1_scaffold_253819_3DL
AUUAUACUCCCUUCGUUCAGAAAUACUUGUCUGAGAAACGGAUCAAAAUGGAUGUAUCUAGAACUUAAAAACAUCUAGAUACAUCCUUUUAUACGACAAGUAUUUUCGGGCGGAGGGAGUAUUUU